CCUACGGGUGGCAGCAGUGAGGAAUAUUGGUCAAUGGACGAGAGUCUGAACCAGCCAAGUAGCGUGAAGGAUGACUGCCCUAUGGGUUGUAAACUUCUUUUAUAAAGGAAUAAAACGAGGCACGUGUGCCUUUUUGCAUGUACUUUAUGAAUAAGGAUCGGCUAACUCCGUGCCAGCAGCCGCGGUAAUACGGUGGAUCCGAGCGUUAUCCGGAUUUAUUGGGUUUAAAGGGAGCGUAGAUGGGUUGUUAAGUCAGUUGUGAAAGUUUGCGGCUCAACCGUAAAAUUGCAAUUGAUACUGGCAGUCUUGAGUACAGUUGAGGUAGGCGGAAUUCGAGGUGUAGCGGUGAAAUGCUUAGAUAUCACGAAGAACCCCGAUUGCGAAGGCAGCUUACUAAACUGUGACUGACAUUGAUGCUCGAAAGUGUGGGUAGCAAACAGGAUUAGAUACCCUAGUAGUC
rnacentral:rRNA from 1 species